ACCGAGCAACGCCGCGUGAAUGACGAAGUACUUCGGUAUGUAAAGUUCUUUUAUCAAGGAAGAAAAGCAAAUGGCGAACCAUUUGUUUGCCGGUACUUGAUGAAUAAGCCCCGGCUAAUUAUGUGCCAGCAGCCGCGGUAAGACAUAAGGGGCAAGUGUUAUCCGGAAUUAUUGGGCGUAAAGGGUGCGUAGGCGGUCUAGUAAGUCAGUGGUGUAAUGGCAACGCUUAACGUUGUCCGGCUAUUGAAACUGCUAAACUUGAGUUAGAUAGAGGCGAGUGGAAUUCCAUGUGUAGCGGUAAAAUGCGUAAAUAUAUGGAGGAACACCAGAGGCGUAGGCGGCUCGCUGGGUCUUAACUGACGCUGAGGCACGAAAGCGUGGGGAGCAAACAGGAUUAGAUACCCUGGUAGUCCACGCCGUAAACGAUGAGUACUAAGUGUCGGGUUAAACCGGUACUGAAGUUAACACAUUAAGUACUCCGCCUGAGUAGUACGUACGCAAGUAUGAAACUUAAAGGAAUUGACGGGACUCCGCACAAGCGGUGGAUCAUGUUGUUUAAUUCGAAGAUACCCGAAAAACCUUACCAGGUCUUGACAUGUUUUUGCAAAAUGAUAGUAAUAUCGUGGAGGUUACCAGAAACACAGGUGGUGCAUGGUUGUCGUCAGCUCGUGUCGUGAGAUGUUAGGUUAAGUCCUAAAACGAGCGAAACCCUUAUCGUUAGUUGCCAGCACGUUAUGGUGGGGACUUUAACGAGACUGCCAAUGAUAAAUUGGAGGAAGGUGAGGAUCACGUCAAAUCAGCAUGCCCCUUAUG
rnacentral:rRNA from 1 species